rnacentral:rRNA from 1 species
GACGAACGCUGGCGGCGUGCCUAAUACAUGCAAGUAGGACGCAGUUGCGAACGUGUGAGUAACGCGUAGGUCACUACCUAUUAGAGGGUGAUAACUAUUGGAAACGAUAGCUAAUACCGCAUACUAGUAGAUGGACCUUCGUUGUAUUAGCUAGUAGGUAGGGUAAUGGCCUACCUAGGCAACGAUACAUAGGCUAGCCUGGAGGGAGGACGAGCAACAUGGGAAUGAGACAAGGCUCAGAAUCCUGCGGGGGGCAGCAAGAGGGAAACAUCGGAAAAUGGGGGAAAGCUGACCGAGCAAAGGCGCGGGAGUGGAGGAAGGUUUCGGGUCGUAAAGCGACGUUGUUAGGGGAGCGGUACUUGACCAGAAAGGGACGGCUAACUACGUGCCAGCAGCCGCGGUAAUAC